UACGUAGGGGGCUAGCGUUGUCCGGAAUCAUUGGGCGUAAAGCGCGUGUAGGCGGUCCGGUAAGUCCGCUGUGAAAGUCGGGGGCUCAACCCUCGAAUGCCGGUGGAUACUGUCUGGCUAGAGUCCGGAAGGGGCGAGUGGAAUUCCUGGUGUAGCGGUGAAAUGCGCAGAUAUCAGGAGGAACACCUAUGGCGAAGGCAGCUCGCUGGGACGGUACUGACGCUGAGGCGCGAAAGCGUGGGGAGCAAACAGG
rnacentral:rRNA from 1 species